AGGGCAGCCCAGGCCCGCGCAGGCCCCGCGAAUCUCCGCGCGCCCCGGCCCCCCCGCCCCCCACGCCCCAGGCAGGCCCCGAGGGAUUGGCUCCCUGGGCCGACGGAAAACUUAGGAAGGCAGCCCCGGGCCGGGUGCAGGAGAGCAGAGCAGAAAUACUCCAGCUUCUUCUAAAAGGCAGCUUUGAUAAAACUAGCCAGGUGAGACUCUUCAAAUAUCUCAAGGUUUUUUUGUUUUGUUUUUUUUUAAUCCCAAGGUGGUGUCAAUUAUACCCUAAGACCUAGAGAUGAACAGGUUUGUUUGGGCAUGUACAUCACUGCAGUCGAGCUGGGACAAGUCAUUCUGGGGUCACCUGGGAGGAACUGAGAUUGGAGCUGUGGGCCCAGAUCAGAAAGGCUGCUAGGCUUGACAUGACAGGUUCCUUGGGUUUUUGUGAAGGCCCUUGACCUCAGGAGCAGAGCCGCCAUUUUCCCAACAUGGUAGGGUAAUACCAAUUUCAUGCGUUGGUGAGGACCUGGGUUUGUUGGCAUCAAUCCCAGUGAUUCC
ensembl:lncRNA